rfam:Myotis davidii contig122844, whole genome shotgun sequence.
GGUAGUUCUCAGGUGACGACCCCUGGAAUCGGACUCCCUCCUCUCUGGUUCCGGGUAUGUCACCCGAGAACCGCA